UACAGAGGUGGCAAGCGUUGUUCGGAAUUACUGGGCGUAAAGGGCGCGUAGGCGGCCAUCUAAGUCAGACGUGAAAUCCCCCGGCUUAACCUGGGAACUGCGUCUGAUACUGUCGGGCUAGAGUCCGGAAGAGGCGAGUGGAAUUCCUGGUGUAGCGGUGGAAUGCGCAGAUAUCAGGAGGAACACCGAUGGCGAAGGCAGCUCGCUGGGACGGUACUGACGCUGAGGCGCGAAAGCGUGGGGAGCGAACAGG
rnacentral:rRNA from 1 species